rnacentral:tRNA from 1 species
CAGAGAAUAGUUUAAUUAUUAAAAUAUUAAUUUUGGGGAUUAAUGAAAAGAUUUUAAUUCUUUUCUCUGA